CUUUAUCAUAUCAAGCAGAGCAAAGCUCCCCUCUUGGAAAACUCAAAAAUGUUCAAAAUGCAAACUGAACUUGGCAGGGGGAAAAGGCGAUGGUAGCAAAAGCAGCUGUGAAAAAUAAAGAGGUUACUUGUGAGUGACUGAAAUGUCCAAGUGUCAUGCCACCAGCAGCCACAAAUAAAAGCAGAUGCUGCAACAUUUUUUAAAAGCAUUUCUGUAAGAAGAUAAAAAUGGCUGCAUACAAUUAAGAAGUAUAAUUUUAUUGAAAAGCAUGAAUGACAAAGCAAAAGGAAAUGUCAAUAUGAUUUUUGUUUUUGUUUUUGUUUUUUAAAGAGAGGGAGUCUUGCUCUGUCACCCAGGCUUGAGUGCACUGGCUCAAUCACAGUUCACUGAAGCCUUGACCUUCCAGGCUUAAGUGAUCCUCUCGCCUCAGCCUCUUCAGUAGUUUAGACUACAGGUGCAAGCCACCACGCCCGGCUAAUUUUUUCAUUUUUUGUAGAGAUAGGGUCUUGCUACAUUGCCCAGGCUGGCCUCUAACUUGUGGGCUCAAGCGAUCCUCUUGCACUGGCCUCCCAAAGUACUGGGAUUAUAGGUGUGAGCCACUGUGCCCAGCCUCAAUAUGAAUUUUAUAAAAGUCCAAAUGCUCUGCAUGUGGAGAACUUUCCAUCUACAAAAAAUCGUUCUGCCUUAAGGUGUGCAAAGAAGUGAGGCCAGAACUCAUUUCAGAAACAGAUUAAGUGGACACCAAAGGAUAUUUAAGCUUCAGAAGGGAAAGAAGGGUUAUCAAUGAACGGUAGCUGAGAUCACAGGCCCCUUAUCUGCAAAGAGAGAGAAUCUGUGAUAAGCUGUAGUACAAACCAGAAUUCAUUUGAAAGAUAAGAUGCAUAAGAUGCAGAAGCUCCAGGGCCUUACUUAGAUGCAGCCUCAUUUCCUUUGUACCCUGCCACCCAGCUGUUGCCUAUGAUUUCACUGAAACAGUUAUCACCUCCACUUAGCAAAACCUAAGGGAGUGAUUCUCAAUUUCUAUUCUGCAAAAGAAUCCACUGAAAAGGUUGCUAAAAUGUAGAUUCUCGGCCCAUGCUCCCUGAAAGUGCUGACACAUGUCAGGCAUGACAACUGGCUUUUCAGCUUCAGGAAUGAAUAUGGACAACUUGAAGGAAGGCUUGCCAAGAUCCCAGUGGAGCCUCAGAUGCA
rnacentral:lncRNA from 1 species